CCUACGGGAGGCAGCAGUGAGGAAUAUUGGUCAAUGGACGGAAGUCUGAACCAGCCAUGCCGCGUGCAGGAUGACGGCUCUAUGAGUUGUAAACUGCUUUUGUACAAGGGUAAACCUGAAUACGUGUAUUCAGCUGAAAGUACUGUACGAAUAAGGAUCGGCUAACUCCGUGCCAGCAGCCGCGGUAAUACGGAGGAUCCAAACGUUCUCCGGAUUUAUUGGGUUUAAAGGGUGCGUAGGCGGAUUGAUAAGUUAGAGGUGAAAUGUCCGAGCUUAACUCGGGAACUGCCUUUAAUACUGUUGAUCUAGAGAGUAGAUGCGGUAGGCGGAAUGUAUGGUGUAGCGGGGAAAUGCUUAGAGAUCAGACAGAACACCGAUUGCGAAGGCAGCUUACCAAUCUAUAUCUGACGUUGAGGCACGAAAGCGUGGGGAGCAAACAGGAUUAGAUACCCGGGUAGUC
rnacentral:rRNA from 1 species